rnacentral:rRNA from 1 species
AAUCCGGCGAAGUCGGCUCCCGCAAGGGCAGGGUGUCGAGGUGCUGCAUGGCUGUCGUCAGCUCGUGUCGUGAGAUGUUGGGUUAAGUCCCGCAACGAGUGCAACCCUUGUCCGCUGUUGCCAUCAGGUUAAGCUGGGCACUCUGCGGAGACUGCCGGUGAUAAACCGGAGGAAGGUGGGGAUGACGUCAAGUCAGCAUGGCCUUUAUGUCUGGGGCUACACACGUGCUACAAUGGCCGGUACAAACCGUCGCGAUGCCGCAAGGUGGAGCUAAUCGGAUAAAGCCUGUCUCAGUUCGGAUUGUCGGCUGCAACUCGCCGGCAUGAAGUUGGAAUCGCUAGUAAUCGCGGAUCAGCACGCCGCGGUGAAUACGUUCCCGGGCCUUGUACACACCGCCCGUCACAUCACGAAAGCUGGCUGUACUAGAAGUAGCAGCGCUAACCCGCAAGGGAGGCAUGUUCCUAAGGUAUGGUCAGUGAUUGGGGUGAAGUCGUAACAAGGUAGCCGA